CAGAAACAACAUGCCAGAAUUCCACAAACUCAAAACAAAAUUGAUCGAGAAGAAAGGAGCACGGGCAUAUGCCUGCCAGUGUAGCUGGAGAACUGUUGAAGAACUCACUGACCUGCAGACAGAUCAUCAGCUUCGCUGGGUGUGUGGUAAACACUGAGAGUGCAGACAGCGGCACCUGUGAGAACAAGUUCCGGGUACCAGCUUGGGUACCAGUGCACAGCAGUAUUGUGCGCGCUGGGAAAAGGCAACAAAUGCUGUGUAACCACACAUGUCUGAAGACCAAAUGGACUGGAAAAGGCAUGCGUACUGUGACACCUUGGCAUUCUUCCUUUCGACGUGGACAUUUUACUUAGGUUAAAAUAUCUGCGUUUGCCAGCAUAUCACCUUUUAGGGACUGAAAUAGUGACAUCCCGUGCAGAUUUACAGCUUUUUUAUAGCAACUGCCAUACUGACUGCUAAUGCACUCUAAAAUGUUCCUCAUGUGUCAUCGUUGUUAAAGAAUACCCACUGGCAUGGCAGAGAGGUCAUUGUAUAUGAGUGUUCAUGGCUCUUCCUAUUCUGAUCCAUCAUUGUCUGAGACUAUAAGUUGAACAUGACAGAAAAGCAGAUGACCAUUGGUUAACUGAGGAGUUGGCAAGAAUACAGGAACAUUGUAACCCUGCCUUUUAUGUAUCUCAUCUUGCCUCACCAACUCAAUUCAGUAUUAUGCAUAAUAGUAAUAAUGAUGUUACCAGUUUUAGUGUAUUUCCUCCUUUGCUCACUGAAAUAGCAAAAGUUGUUAGUUUUCUAUUAGCAAACAUAUAUAUAUACAUAUAUAUGUUUUGAUGCAACUAAAGUUACUAAAAUCCUAAAAAUAAGUCGUUGUUAGACUUUUCAAGUAUACUCCAUAACUCUAAAUGAGCAGCAGUAAGAUGACUUUCAGACAACCUGUAUACUUUCUAAUAGUAUCAGGUUGGCCCAUUCUUUAUUGAAGCAUAAAGAACCAAUGGGUAGCUCGUGGGCUCCUGUGAUAUCACUGAGAUGGGAGGAACUGUAUCAUACAUAGUAACGUUCAAGAAAUGCAUUGCCUCAGUUUUACCUCCCAGCCCCAUAGACAUUUCAGGGCUUUUCUAGUCUGCUAGAGUUCUUUUCUGUGUGACCAUUUCCUGUGUGUGUAUUACUUAAGUGUGUGACACUGGGCACUCUGAAAGGAAGUACAUUUUAGCCCAGAUAUGAUCUGCUUGCUUUUCAGUUAACUCCAUUCUUGCCACCAAGCAAAUCCUCUGAGUGCUAAAAGCUUUUUCCUAGGCUAGGGUCUAGCUUGGCAAUAGAGUACUUGCAUUGCAUGUACAAGACCCUAAAUUUAUUCCCAGUGGUACAAAAGAAAAAAGAAAGACAGAGAGGCAAGCUUUUCCUCACCAUGACACAUUUAUGUACUUAAAAAAAACUUUAAUUGCAGCAAAAGAGAUCUCAAAGUGGCUGAUGCUCAAGUUUUUGUAUUAAGAUUAUUUGCAAAUUUUAUCUUUCAAUAAACCAAUUUACUCCUC
rnacentral:lncRNA from 1 species